AAACCGUGUUGCUGACACUUCCUCAAGAGGUCCUCGAAUCACUCCCAUGUCUCAAACAAUGAUUCGAGCUCCAUCUGUAUAAAUGCGGAUAUCUCAAUACGAAGCCU